UUCAUACAAACUCAACUGCCGCCAUCUUGCAUCUAUAAUUUCUUCAGAGUAUGAAUAUAAUGUAAUAUUAUUACAGUGUUUGUCAAUGCAGAGGUUUUUGGUUAAAUGCCUGAAGUGAGGUCUGUGGUGAACACAAGCUCAAGAUAUUUUCACGUUUUAUUCUAUGAUAUAAAAUACAUCAAUAAUACCCUCUUGUGAAUUAUUAUUUUUUUUUAAAGCUUUGACUUGUCUAGUAAAAUGCAGUUGCUAACAAAGGUCUAAGUGGGACAGCAGAGGAUGUUGAGGACAUUAAACAUCAUCAGCCUAAAGACUUUAAAUAAAGAGUUGUUGGAAGCUUAGUGGUGACGUUGAAGUCAUGUGACCGUGAUGUAGUUUGUUUACAUUUAGCUUUUUACUACAGCAUAUUAUAUUUGUUCUUCAAAAUUCAUAAACAUUGUGUGAUUUGCGAAGAUUAUCAUGAUGAACAAAACGUGUAAGUAUCAUAAACUUUUGUUAUUCACAGACCUUAUUUUCUGCAGUAAUACAAAGGCCAAUUGAAAAAUCCUAUUGGGUUUUUGUCGAGGGAACCAGGGUGAUGCGAACACAGGUUUAUUUUGUUUAAAGUCCAUAAUUGUUCAUUUAGUUCUUCCCUUCUGAAGCUACAGAAGAUCCUUACAGUACAUGUUUUCCAGAAGACAAAAUAAGUAAAAUUUACCCUGAUAUUCAAAUUUAAAGUUCCCCCUCCCUUAAUACAUGGAGUCUCCUUCUGGAGCAUUCUUUUCUUUUUAAUGAUUCCUCUUAAUUCGUUAAAAUAAUUAACAUUUUGCAGAUUCUGCAAGGUGUAUAAAACUUUGGACCUCAACUGUACAUGCAGGGCAGUUAUUAUCACAAAAUAAACCUGGCCUGGGAACACAAAGUAAAUAAUUAGACAGAAUAUUAAUUUGAGUUGAAAUAUUUUAUUAGCUCAUUAAACACAAAGCUUCAGUGAAUAAAAAUAGCAAGCAGCUUUGAUCAGUUAGCAAGCACUAUAUUACAAUAGCUCUAUAAUAGUUAGCAAGCACUACAUUAAUGAAACUGACUUGACUUGAUCAGAAGGCAUUGUAAAAAUAGGAGAUUAGUGGCGAGAUAUAUGAUUUUUACUUUUUUUUUUUUUUUUGCCAGAAGCAGAGCCAGGAGCCAGUUAUAACAUACAAGAGAUUGAACCUCUCCCUGUGGAAGACACAGUGGUUUAAGAGAGAUAGAGUGGAGCAGUCUUCAGGAUAAUCAACAGCCGUUCAGAUGAGAGGAGAUCUUCCAGCAUUGAUGAAGAACCAUGACCACACUUGGAUCAUUCCAUUUCAAAUCAACAAAAUUUCAGAAACUUUCCCAGCUCAAACGCUUCACCUUAUUAUUUCCACGGAGACGCGUCAUGCUUGUCAUGUGAUAUAAAACCUAAGAGUUAUUCUAACUAACCUUUUUUAGUAAACUUUACUUAACGUCCAAUAAUUUGUUGAACUUACUUAAAGGGAUAGUUCACCCAAAAAUGAAAACUCUGUCAUCAUUUACUCACCUUCAAGUUGUUCCAAACCUGUAUACAUUUCUUUGUUCUGUUGAACACAAAGGAAGAUAUUUUGAAGAAAGUUUGCAACCAGGCUGUUUUGGGGCACCAUUGAAAAGGUUUUUAAGGCAGGGCGAUUCUUAAUCUUUUUUAGUUGCAUUCUAUCAUUUUCUCAAAGUGAUCUUGAAUGUUCAAUUAUCAAUACAACUAAAACUUUUGAGUGAACGUCACAUAAGUUGAUGUCACAAAUUCAUGUUGAUUUCCUAAAAUUUUUCUCAGCGUUUUAGUGAUUAGUGUCCCCUCUGGUUGUGCACUUGGAACUUCACUUAUAUUAUUAUAACUCUCUUCCAAUUGAUUUCCAAACAGGAAAUUACAGUUAUUUGUGGUUUCAAAGGAAGAGACAUAUCAAAUAGAUUGUUCUUAAAAAGUGACCUAAUUUAAUAACUAAUUUAGACUUUGUGUAGAAUUUUAGUUUAUUAGAUUGUAUCGCUAACAUAUCAUAAACACCAUACUAUUGUGAAACAUCAAACUUUUAAGGGGGUUGAUUCGUCUCUAGUUAAGACAGUGCCUUGCAAUCAACCUUGCUUGAGUCACACACAGACAUCAAGAUUCAACACAACAAUCGUUGUUUUUGUUUUUUUUCUUCCUGUAGAGCUCCAACCUGAACACACUUGAACUAAUAAUCAGCAUUUUCAGGGUAGAAAUUCUCAGGCUGGUGUGUUAGUGUUGGUUGGAACUAAAAACGCCUUGAAGCUGGUCCUCCUUAGGAGAUGAUUGGACACUCCUGAGACAGAAAUCUGUGUCUGAAAUGUUUGGAACUAUUUGAUCUUGUAACCUAUGUGGGGGGUUACAGUGUAUCUAUGUACAGUGUAUGUACAAUAUAUGUAUAUAUGUGUGUAUGUGUAAGUAUAUUUAUAUUGUAUAUACAAAGUAUAAAAUAUUUUUCUAAGUAUGGGCACAAAUGUGCUCUUUCCAUUUGUUUCUGCCCUCUAGUGGACAUAUUGUGAAAUCAGAUAAUAAUUAAAUAUUCAUAUUUGCUGAAAGAUAUAAGGGCAAUCAGAGAGCAGACAGAGACUGAAAAAACAGCAGGGUUCAUACACAUUUUAACCAAUACAUUUCCAAGACUUUUGAGGCUUUUUCAAUAUUCAUGACCUAAUGUUCCAUUAAAGUCUAUGUAUACAAAAAAAUCCAGGUACCAUUGGUGAUUUACCAUUGCAUAUCUUGAAUAAAAUUAAUGACUAUUAAUUCUA